rnacentral:lncRNA from 1 species
UGGACGAUGAAGAUGCCCGAAACGGUGAGCACGCGCAUGACGCGGCGCAUGUCGCGGAGCCUGCACGGGCUGAUCCCGGCCUCGGCGAGUAUCUGGGGCAGGGUGGCGGCGCCGCCGAGGCGGUGGACGGCGUCGGCGAUGCGGAGGUCCAAGGCGAUGGCGAGCGCGGCGGACUUGAAGAAGCCGAGGGACUGGUGCCAGAGCUGGAGCUCGGCCUGGAGCAGCUCCUGGCUGCUGUACUCGGCGAGCAAUGCCAUUACUGCCCCGAUCGACCAAUCAGUCGAUCUUGAUGGCUAAUUCUUCCUUGUUCAGGGGUUGCUGAGCUUUGGGUGGAGCCAUACACGCAUCGGGUACUUAUAGUUGCAUGGCAGCUUGGUUAAGUAUUCUACCCCCAACGAACAUGAGCAUUAUUCUACAAGCUCUCAUUGGCUGUAUAUGCAAGCAUGUGCAGCCCUGGAAAUCAAGACGAUAUCCCAGCCGGUGCCCAGUUGACUUUGAAAGGAGGAACGAGUCAUGAGAGAUUUUUUGAAAAUAGAAUGAUAGGCUGCUUCUGCAUAUGUACUUAUAUACCAAUGAAAACUAAUUGUAUAUAUAGGGAAUUUUGAAGCACUUAGUCAACUACUAGCUGCAGUAGCUUGAAUGGUCGCAUUACAUACGCACACGGCAGCUACUUAGUUUAGGCUGCUAGGUGACCGCGAGCGGAAGCUUACGUUGCCUUGGUCAGAAUUCGAGCUAUAUAGAGAGGAGAGGCUGCGCGGCUGCGCCAAGGUAUCAAUCAAUCUUAUCCUUGACCGUGAUGGCUGAAGAAGUCUUCCAUGUCUGCGCCUCCAAAGUACUAAACAAGAGCACCAGGAAUUCAGGAUCUCAUGACUGCUCAUCACUUUUGUUUUUUUAUAACUAUCUGCUCAACGAUCACUUUUGGAGUUUUUGGACAGCUACCAUGCUAGUUGAAACCACGCACCUUCAUGUUGCCGUCACAAGACUACCGUUUCAAUAUGUCCAAGUUAACAGUGGACUGAUCAGUUGCAAUCUGCAAGCGAACCAUCUUCACUGACAAUAGCUAUCAUGGAUGCACAUGUAUAUCAAGCAUAAGUACUUGCAAACCAAUCAUUGAGUCUUUCACCGUUGCACGGUUUUGUUUUUAAAAGUAUGUUUGCAACUAGUCACUUCUGAAGGUAUUUGCAAUUGCAAAAAUAGUUUCUAACGUCUAUUACCGAAAAAAUUGUCCUUUUGCAUCUUAGUUUUUAAUUAUGUUGAGUUUGACAAUGAAAUUUUAUGGAUGCAUAUAUCAUGCUCAUCCCCAUCUAUAGUAAAAUUUAUAAAAUAUUCUCAAACCUUUUAAGUAGAGUGAAAAUUAAAUCCACAUUCUUGUGUCGUUUACACCACCUAUAUACUUCACCCAAGAAUGCAAUCAAAUAUGCUCACCCACCUACUGCUAGAUGUGCCUCUUCAAUAUUCAACUUAUUUUUCAUGGCUGUCCUCUCCUUAUGUCGACUGCUUCCGACGCUGCAUUGUGCACCACCGUAGUCGCUGUGCUUCCUUCGUCUCCGGUGACGAUGACAAUGCCUGCUUUGCCGCCACCAUUUUUCAGCGUGGUGGUUGUCCGAUUUCGAGUGAGAAGCAGUGUACAUCUCUAAGGCAGAUUCAUUUUUCACCGAUCCUCCAUCUGAGAAGAAGAGGAAAAGGAAGAGGAGGAGGAAGAGGAAGGAGAAGCAAGAUGACGUUGCUGCCAGAAAGCCUGAUGACAUGGAUUUGAACAUAAAUGACGACGACAUGGUAGAUUAGCAAACACAGUGGAAUAAAAACUAGACUCAAGUAUGUGCCCUUCAUGUAUACUUUGAGCAAAGCACUAUACAUGUGCAAACUUUUUUCCAGGUCUAAGUAGGCAAGCACCAAAGUAAUAAAACAGGUUUUACUCCUUUUGUAGGGUCAGAUGCCCGAAUAUGAAUCCCCCACAUAUGUAUAGGGCCACUUAUUGGACACUAUGCAUCUUAACAAUAAUUCAGAACCAGUAUAUAUAUAAUUUUGUGAUGUCUUAUUCUUUGGAUGGUGUUCUGUUCACCAAGCUUUCAAGGAUAGAGCUCGAUAACAGAUCGAACACCGAGAACAGGUAUAAUUUUGUAGUCCUUGAAUCCAGCCUCGAAGAAAAUCUUCUUCCACUCUUGCUCAUCUCGUUCAACUCCAUUGAUGUUCAUGAUUAAGAGGUCAUACAAAACUUGUGUCUCUGCAUGCUUGAUAUCAUCUGACGGCCCAGAUCCGACCACCAUAUCUAUUAUUAUUAUCUUUCCUCCAGCAUCUCGUGGAGAUAUAACUUGUUUGCAGUUCUUCAGUAUCUUGACACACUCGUCAUCGCGCCAAUCAUGCAAAAUCCACUGGAAAAAACAAGCAAUCAUGCAUCAAUUUUCAAUCCAUACAUAAAUUAAACAUACAAUAGCUUAGGGCAUUUGCUGGUUGCUGUCACUAAUGUGCAUUCGAAACAUUUGGGUACUGGGAUGUACCUUGAGGAACACAGCGUUCGCCGGUGGAAUACUCUCAAACAUGUCACCAGCAACGUAGUGCACGUCAGUACCAGAGGGAGCUUGUGCGACGACCUGUGGGAGAUCCAGCACGGUGCACUUCAAAUCCGGGAACGCCGCUGCUAUGGUCGCAGCGGCCCCGCCAAGGCCGCCGGCGACAUCGACGAGGGAGGUUAGCCCACGGAAGACCUCGGCGCACUCCCUGAGGACGAUCGGCAUCAGGAAGGCGGUGUCCGCGGCCAUGGCUUCGUUGAACCGGAACGCCUCGGCGUCACCCUCCGCUCUCUCCCAGACAGACUGGCCGCCGUACGCCAUGGAGAACGGGGACAGACCCGGCUGCUGCAGGUCACCCUGCUGCCGGAACCACUUGCGCAUGCCCAUGCUGACCGGAGAAUCUCGGACCGGCCAGAGCAAGAGCUGCACGGUCAGGAAAUGAGGCAGCUGGCCCGUCGCCGUCGAGCUCUUGUCCCUGACGAGGAGGCGGGAGGCCGCCGUCAGCUUGUAGACCGCGGCGUCGUGCCUGCUUUCUGCCGCCGCCGCCGCCUCGUCCGGGUACUGGACGAUGAAGAUGCCCGAAACGGUGAGCACGCGCAUGACGCGGCGCAUGUCGCGGAGCCUGCACGGGCUGAUGCCGGCCUCGGCGAGUAUCUGGGGCAGGGUGGCGGAGCCGCCGAGGCGGUGGACGGCGUCGGCGAUGCCGAGGUCCAAGGCGAUGGCGAGCGCGGCGGACUUGAAGAAGCCGAGGGACUGAUGCCAGAGCUGGAGCUCGGCCUGGAGCAGCUCCUGGCUGCUGUACUCGGCGAGCAAUGCCAUUACUGCCCCGAUCGACCAAUCAGUCGAUCUUGAUGGCUGGUUCUUUCUUGUUCAGGGGUUGCUGAGCUUUGGGUGGAGCCAUACACGCAUCGGGUACUUAUAGUUGCAUGGCAGCUUGGUUAAGAGGGUGUUUGGGAGAAGGGGGUUAAACUUUAGCCUUGUCACAUCGGAUGUUCGGAUACUAAUUAGGAGGACUAAAUAUAAGCUAAUUACAAAACUAAUUGCAGAACCCCUAAGCUAAAUCGCAAGACGAAUCUAUUAACCCUAACUAAUUAGGCUUAAUAGAUUCGUCUCGCGAUUUAACCUAGGGGUUGUGUAAUUAGUUUUGUAAUUAGUCUAGGUUUAAUACUCCUAACUAGUGUCCAAACAUUCGAUGUGACGGGAGCUAAAAUUUAGCCCCCUCCUCCCAAACACCUACCCCCAACGAACAUGAGCAUUAUUCUACAAGCUCUCAUUGGCUGUAUAUGCAAGCAUGUGCAGCCUUGGAAAUCAAGACGAUAUCCCAGCCGGUGCCCAGUUGACUUUGAAAGGAGGAACGAGUCAUGAGAGAUUUUUUGAAAAUAGAAUGAUAGGCUGCUUCUGCAUAUGUACUUAUAUACCAAUGAAAACUAAUUGUAUAUAUAGGGAAUUUUGAAGCACUUAGUCAACUACUAGCUGCAGUAGCUUGAAUGGUCGCAUUACAUAUGCACACGGCAGCUACUUACCCCUUGUUUACUUUCCAAUUUGGGAUAGGCAAAAUUGACAUUUUGCCAUAAAUGCGUAACUGUAGCGUUUCGUUUGUAUUUGUGAAUUAUUGUCUAAAUAUUGACUAAUUAGGCUCAAAAGAUUCGUCUCGCAAAGUACAACGAAAUUGUGUAAUUAGUUUUUGAUUUCGUCUACAUUUAGUACUCCAUGCAUGUACCGCAAGUUUGAUGUGAUGGUGAAUCUUCUUUUUGCAUAGUGUCAAAGUUGGGUGUUUGGGAGAAGGGGGCUAAACUUUAGCCUUGUCACAUCGGAUGUUCGGAUACUAAUUAGGAGGACUAAACAUAAGCUAAUUACAAAACUAAUUGCAGAACCCCUAGGCUAAAUCGCGAGACGAAUCUAUUAAGCCUAAUUAAUCCAUCAUUAGUGAAUGGUUACUGUAGCACCGCAUUGUCAAAUCAUGGACUAAUUAGGCUUAAUAGAUUCGUCUCGCGAUUUAGCCUAGGGGUUGUGUAAUUAGUCUAGGUUUAAUACUCCUAACUAGUGUCCAAACAUUCGAUGUGACGGGGGUUAAAAUUUAGCCCCCUCCUCCCAAACACCUACCCCAACGAACAUGAGCAUUAUUCUACAAGCUCUCAUUGGCUGUAUAUGCAAGCAUGUGCAGCCCUGGAAAUCAAGACGAUAUCCCAGCCGGUGCCCAGUUGACUUUGAAAGGAGGAACGAGUCAUGAGAGAUUUUUUGAAAAUAGAAUGAUAGGCUGCUUCUGCAUAUGUACUUAUAUACCAAUGAAAACUAAUUGUAUAUAUAGGGAAUUUUGAAGCACUUAGUCAACUCCUAGCUGCAGUAGCUUGAAUGGUCGUAUUACAUACGCACACGGCAGCUACUUACCCCUCGUUUACUUCCCAAUUUGGGAUAGGCAAAAUUGACAUUUUGUCAUAAAUGCGCAACUGUAGCGUUUCGUUUGUAUUUGUGAAUUAUUGUCUAAAUAUUGACUAAUUAGGCUCAAAAGAUUCGUCUCGCAAAGUACAACGAAAUUGUGUAAUUAGUUUUUGAUUUCGUCUACAUUUAGUACUCCAUGCAUGUACCGCAAGUUUAAUGUGAUGAAGAAUCUUCUUUUUGCAUAGUGUCAAAGUUGGGAGUUUGGAGGGAAGUAAACAAGGGGUUAGUUUAGGCUGCUAGGUGACCGCGAGCGGAAGCUUACGUUGCCUUGGUCAGAAUUCGAGCUAUAUAGAGAGGAGAGGCUGCGCGCUGCGCCAAGGUAUCAAUCAAUCUUAUCCUUGACCGUGAUGGCUGAAGAAGUCUUCCAUGUCUGCGCCUGCAAACUACUAAACAAAUCUUUAUCCUUGGUCAGAAUUCGAGCUGUAUAGAGAGGAGAGGCUGCGCGUAGAUCUCUAUCAUGAAUGCACAUGUAUAUCAAGCAUAAGUACUUGCAAACCAAUCAUUGAGUCUUUCACCGUUGCACGGUUUUGUUUUUAAAAGUAUGUUUGCAACUAGUCACUUCUGAAGGUAUUUGCAAUUGCAAAAAUAGUUUCUAACGUCUAUUACCGAAAAAAUUGUCCUUUUGCAUCUUAGUUUUUAAUUAUGUUGAGUUUGACAAUGAAAUUUUAUGGAUGCAUAUAUCAUGCUCAUCCCCAUCUAUAGUAAAAUUUAUAAAAUAUUCUCAAACCUUUUAAGUAGAGUGAAAAUUAAAUCCACAUUCUUGUGUCGUUUACACCACCUAUAUACUUCACCCAAGAAUGCAAUCAAAUAUGCUCACCCACCUACUGCUAGAUGUGCCUCUUCAAUAUUCAACUUAUUUUUCAUGGCUGUCCUCUCCUUAUGUCGACUGCUUCCGACGCUGCAUUGUGCACCACCGUAGUCGCUGUGCUUCCUUCGUCUCCGGUGACGAUGACAAUGCCUGCUUUGCCGCCACCAUUUUUCAGCGUGGUGGUUGUCCGAUUUCGAGUGAGAAGCAGUGUACAUCUCUAAGGCAGAUUCAUUUUUCACCGAUCCUCCAUCUGAGAAGAAGAGGAAAAGGAAGAGGAGGAGGAAGAGGAAGGAGAAGCAAGAUGACGUUGCUGCCAGAAAGCCUGAUGACAUGGAUUUGAACAUAAAUGACGACGACAUGGUAGAUUAGCAAACACAGUGGAAUAAAAACUAGACUCAAGUAUGUGCCCUUCAUGUAUACUUUGAGCAAAGCACUAUACAUGUGCAAACUUUUUUCCAGGUCUAAGUAGGCAAGCACCAAAGUAAUAAAACAGGUUUUACUCCUUUUGUAGGGUCAGAUGCCCGAAUAUGAAUCCCCCACAUAUGUAUAGGGCCACUUAUUGGACACUAUGCAUCUUAACAAUAAUUCAGAACCAGUAUAUAUAUAAUUUUGUGAUGUCUUAUUCUUUGGAUGGUGUUCUGUUCACCAAGCUUUCAAGGAUAGAGCUCGAUAACAGAUCGAACACCGAGAACAGGUAUAAUUUUGUAGUCCUUGAAUCCAGCCUCGAAGAAAAUCUUCUUCCACUCUUGCUCAUCUCGUUCAACUCCAUUGAUGUUCAUGAUUAAGAGGUCAUACAAAACUUGUGUCUCUGCAUGCUUGAUAUCAUCUGACGGCCCAGAUCCGACCACCAUAUCUAUUAUUAUUAUCUUUCCUCCAGCAUCUCGUGGAGAUAUAGCUUGUUUGCAGUUCUUCAAUAUCUUGACACACUCGUCAUCGCGCCAAUCAUGCAAAAUCCACUGAAAAAAACAAGCAAUCAUGCAUCAAUUUUCAAUCCAUACAUAAAUUAAACAUACAAUAGCUUAGGGCAUUUGCUGGUUGCUGUCAGUAAUGUGCAUUCGAAACAUUUGGGUAUUGGGAUGUACCUUGAGGAACACAGCGUUCGCCGGUGGAAUACUCUCAAACACGUCACCAGCAACGUAGUGCACGUCAGUACCAGAGGGAGCUUUUGCGACGACCUGUGGGAGAUCCAGCACGGUGCACUUCAAAUCCGGGAACGCCGCUGCUAUGGUCGCAGCGGCCCCGCCAAGGCCGCCGGCGACAUCGACGAGGGAGGUUAGCCCACGGAAGACCUCGGCGCACUCCCUGAGGACGAUCGGCAUCAGGAAGGCGGUGUCCGCGGCCAUGGCGUCGUUGAACCGGAACGCGGCGGCGUCAUGUUCCGCUCUCUCCCAGACCGUCUGGCCGCCGUACGCCAUGGCGAACGGGGACAGACCCGGCUGCUGCUGGUCGCCCUGCUGCCGGAACCACUUGCGCAUGCCCAUGCUAACCGGAGAAUCUCGGACCGGCCCGAGCAAGAGCUGCACGGUCAGGAAAUGAGGCAGUUGGCCCGUCGCCGUCGAGCUCUUGUCCCUGACGAGGAGGCGGGAGGCCGCUGUCAGCUUGUAGACCGCGGCGUCGUGCCUGCUUUCUGCCGCCGCCGCCGCCGCCGCCUCGUCCGGGUGCUGGACGAUGAAGAUGCCCGAAACGGUGAGCACGCGCAUGACGCGGCGCAUGUCGCGGAGCCUGCACGGGCUGAUCCCGGCCUCGGCGAGUAUCUGGGGCAGGGUGGCGGCGCCGCCGAGGCGGUGGACGGCGUCGGCGAUGCGGAGGUCCAAGGCGAUGGCGAGCGCGGCGGACUUGAAGAAGCCGAGGGACUGGUGCCAGAGCUGGAGCUCGGCCUGGAGCAGCUCCUGGCUGCUGUACUCGGCGAGCAAUGCCAUUACUGCCCCGAUCGACCAAUCAGUCGAUCUUGAUGGCUA